rnacentral:rRNA from 1 species
GACGAACGCUGGCGGCGUGCUUAACACAUGCCAGUCGAACGGAAAGGCCUCUAUCGGGGGGUACUCGAGUGGCGAACGGGCGAGUAAGACGUGCGUAACUUGCCCAUGACUUUGGGAUAACUUCAGUCAACUGAGGGUAAUACCUGACAGGAGAUCUUGCUGCAUGGUGGGGGCUGGAGAGUUUCGGGGGUUGGGUAUGGGUUAGCGGCUUAUCGGCUUGUUGGUGGGAUAGUGGGUUACCAAGGCCUUGCCGGGUAGCCGGUCUGAGGAGGUGAGCGGCCGCACUGGGUCUGACAGACGGCACAGGCUGCUACGGGAGGCAGAAGUGGGGAAUAUUGCACAAGGGGUGGAAGCCUGAUGCAGAAGGGCCGUGGGCGGGAUGACGGUCUUAGGGUGGUAAAACGCUUUCGCUCAUGACGAAGCUUUGUGUGACGGUAGUGGGUAAAGAAGCACCGGCUAACUACGUG